CUUUCUCCUCCCUCCCCCCGCAGUCCAUGUACCGUUGGCGUCGCUGACAUGUGGGCCGCUACUCCCUUUCUCCAUGCCGCAUGCACAAAAUUAGGCUAGCUGGUGGGCCCUGCGUCGCUAGAAGCCUCCUCUUCCCUGGGUUGUUGCGAACGCCCAUGGAAUCGCGCAGACUUCCAGGAGUCGGUUAGCACACCGGCUUGGAUCCUUGCACCCACCGAGACUCGACUCUGGGCCAUAAAACCAAGCACCGUGACUACGUCGCCAUCUAGCCGUGCACCAUCACCGUCGCAGAAGAGGAAGGAAUAGAGCCGAGCAGCACCUUAGCAUCCUCUCGCCAUCGCCGUUGCGGAAGAUCGCGGAGCACGGGAAGCCAUGGGUUGGCGGUGAUUUCUCGUCGGUCACCUAGCACCACCACAGAUCCACUUCUCAUCGUGGGCAGCUCGGUCCCUGUCUCCGCCUUCAGUCAAGAACAGGUACCGGAAAGAUGAGGAGCAUGAAGGAUGUCGCGAUGAGUUCAUGAGAGGUCUAGGUCGUCGUCUCCCAGUCAACUAUGGUUGAGGAGGAUCGUUGUCUUCAUAUGAUGUAAUGAUUUAGCUAUUUUGUACAUAACUCCUAUAUAUAUAGUAAAGAUUCGACAUUCGUUUCUGUACCAUGUGUCAUCAUGUGUGUGAGACUUGAUCCUAGCACACAUUUGAUUCGCGCCCGGGUUUGCCCUUAAAAUCCGGCGUGACAAAGUUGGUAUCGGAUCAAUGUUGACUGUAGGACGUAACCUAUAUAGACCUAGAAAAAUCCUUAUCUACUUACCUUUA